AGAAGGGCGUAUGGUGGAUGCCUUGGCUCCUAAAGGCGAAGAAGGACGUGAUAAGCUGCGAUAAGCUAUGGGUAGGUGCAAAUGACCUGUGAUCCGUAGAUUUCCGAAUGGGGUAACCCGUCACGCUGAAGGCGUGAUAUUCAAGUGCAAGCUUGAAGGCGAACCCGGGGAACUGAAACAUCUAAGUACCCGGAGGAAGAGAAAACAAUAGUGAUUUCCUUAGUAGUGGCGAGCGAACGGGAAAUAGCCCAAACCGGGUUUGUUUCGGCAAAUUCGGGGUUGUAGGACUACACAACGGUGAGAAAAUCAGAAGUGGAAUUAACUGGAAAGUUAAGUCACAGAGGGUGAUAACCCCGUACACACAAUGUAUUUUUCAUUAGUAGUAUCCUGAGUAAUGCGGGACACGAGAAAUCCUGUAUGAAACAGCCAGGACCAUCUGGCAAGGCUAAAUACUUUUAGGAGACCGAUAGUGAACUAGUACCGUGAGGGAAAGGUGAAAAGUACUUCGAACAGAAGAGUGAAAUAGACCCUGAAACCAUACGCUUACAAGCUGUAGGAGUCCCGAUUUAUCGGGAUGACUGCGUGCCUUUUGCAUAAUGAGCCUACGAGUUACUCCUCACUAGCGAGGUUAAGGACUUAUGGUCUGAAGCCGAAGCGAAAGCGAGUCUGAAAAGGGCGAACUAGUUAGUGGGGGUAGACGCGAAACUUUGUGAUCUACCCAUGGCCAGGCUGAAGCCUCGAUAACACGUGGUGGAGGGCCGAACCAGUAUCCGUUGAAAAGGAUUUGGAUGAGCUGUGGGUAGGGGUGAAAGGCUAAUCAAACUGAGAGAUAGCUCGUACUCCCCGAAAUGCAUUUAGGUGCAGCCUUGAGGUGAGUGUCAUAGAGGUAGAGCUACUGAUAGGGAUAGAGGGCUUCACCGCCUAUCAACCCCUGACAAACUCCGAAUGCUAUGACAUAUACUCAGGAGUGAGGCGUUGGGUGCUAAGGUCCAGCGCCGAGAGGGAAAGAACCCAGACCAUCAGCUAAGGUCCCCAAAUAUAUGCUAAGUUGAUCAAACGUGGUGCGACUGCAUUGACAGCUAGGAUGUUGGCUUGGAAGCAGCCAUUCAUUUAAAGAGUGCGUAACAGCUCACUAGUCGAGCGGUUGUGCGUGGAUAAUACUCGGGCAUAAGCAUAUUACCGAAGCUAUGGACUUGCCGUUAUACGGCAAUUGGUAGGGGAGCAUUCCAGUCUGCGUAGAAGGUGGGUUGUAAGGCCUGCUGGAGCGUCUGGAAAAGAAAAUGUAGGCAUAAGUAACGAUAAUGCGGGCGAGAAACCCGCACACCGAUAGACUAAGGUUUCCUGAUCAACGUUAAUCGGAUCAGGGUUAGUCGGGACCUAAGGCGAAGCCGAAAGGCGUAGUCGAUGGACAACAGGUUAAUAAUCCUGUACUGGCUGAUACUGCGAAGGGGUGACGAAAGAGUGAAAAGUCUGCGUACUGACGGAAUAGUACGUUAAAGGGUGUAGAUAUAUUUGUGGGUUAAUAGCUCAUGAAUGUCGAACCUGAUAGUACCGGGCGUCUUCGGACAACCGGAUAAUGACUGUAAACAGAUUUCCAAGAAAACCCUCUAAGCUUUAGGUAUCAGGCACCCGUACCGCAAACCGACACAGGUAGUCAAGGAGAGAAUCCUGAGGUGCUCGAGUGAUUCAUGGCUAAGGAACUAGGCAAAAUUGUCCUGUAACUUCGGGAGAAAGGACGCCACGUUUCGGCGUGGCCACAGUAAAAUGGCCCAGGCGACUGUUUAUCAAAAACACAGGACUCUGCAAAAUCGAAAGAUGAAGUAUAGGGUCUGACACCUGCCCGGUGCCGGAAGGUUAAGAGGAGAUGUUAUCCUGACAUGUUUGGGAGAAGCAUUGAAUUGAAGCCCCGGUAAACGGCGGCCGUAACUAUAACGGUCCUAAGGUAGCGAAAUUCCUUGUCGGGUAAGUUCCGACCUGCACGAAUGGUGUAACGAUCUGGGCACUGUCUCAGCCAUGAGCUCGGUGAAAUUGUAAUUCCGGUGAAGAUGCCGGAUACCCGCAACGGGACGGAAAGACCCCGUGCACCUUUACUGCAACUUAACAUUGGUUUUGGGUAAGUGAUGUGUAGGAUAGGUGGGAGACUAUGAAGCGGCCUCGCUAGGGGUCGUUGAGUCGUCGUUGAAAUACCACCCUUUGCUUGCCUGGAAUCUAAUCCCGCGAGAGCGGGCGACAGUGUUUGGUGGGUAGUUUGACUGGGGUGGUCGCCUCCAAAAGAGUAACGGAGGCUUCUAAAGGUACCCUCAGCACGAAUGGUAACCGUGCGCAGAGUGCAAUGGCACAAGGGUGCUUGACUGUGAGACAAACAAGUCGAUCAGGUACGAAAGUAGAGCAUAGUGAUCCGGUGGUUCCGCAUGGAAGGGCCAUCGCUCAAAGGAUAAAAGGUACGCCGGGGAUAACAGGCUGAUCGCUCCCAAGAGCUCAUAUCGACGGAGCGGUUUGGCACCUCGAUGUCGGCUCGUCACAUCCUGGGGCUGGAGAAGGUCCCAAGGGUUCGGCUGUUCGCCGAUUAAAGUGGCACGUGAGCUGGGUUCAGAACGUCGUGAGACAGUUCGGUCCCUAUCUGUUGUGGGCGCAGGAAAUUUGAGAGGACCUGACCUUAGUACGAGAGGACCGGGUCGGACGAACCUCUGGUGUACCUGUUGUGGCGCCAGCUGCAUUGCAGGGUAGCUAUGUUCGGAAGAGAUAAGCGCUGAAAGCAUCUAAGAGCGAAGCUCACCUCAAGAUGAGAUUUCCAUUAAGGGUCGUUGAAGACUACGACGUUGAUAGGCUGCAGGUGUAAAGGCAGAGAUGUCAAAGCCGAGCAGUACUAAUUACCCGAUAACUUAUAUU
rnacentral:rRNA from 1 species